UGGGGGAAUAUUGCACAAUGGGCGAAAGCCUGAUGCAGCAACGCCGCGUGAGUGAUGAAGGUCUUCGGAUUGUAAAGCUCUGUCUUUUGGGACGAUAAUGACGGUACCAAAGGAGGAAGCCACGGCUAACUACGUGCCAGCAGCCGCGGUAAUACGUAGGUGGCGAGCGUUGUCCGGAUUUACUGGGCGUAAAGGGUGCGUAGGCGGAUGUUUAAGUGAGAUGUGAAAUACCCGGGCUUAACUUGGGUGCUGCAUUUCAAACUGGAUAUCUAGAGUGCAGGAGAGGAGAAUGGAAUUCCUAGUGUAGCGGUGAAAUGCGUAGAGAUUAGGAAGAACACCAGUGGCGAAGGCGAUUCUCUGGACUGUAACUGACGCUGAGGCACGAAAGCGUGGGUAGCAAACAGGAUUAGAUACCCUGGUAGUCCACGCCGUAAACGAUGAGUACUAGGUGUAGGAGGUAUCGACCCCUUCUGUGCCGCAGUAAACACAUUAAGUACUCCGCCUGGGAAGUACGAUCGCAAGAUU
rnacentral:rRNA from 1 species